GCCGGGGUGGCGGAAUAGGUAGACGCACAGGACUUAAAAUCCUGCGGAGAGUUGUCUCCGUGCCGGUUCGAUUCCGGCUCUCGGUA
rfam:Atopostipes suicloacalis DSM 15692 genome assembly, contig: EJ15DRAFT_scaffold00029.29